GCGUUUAGAGGAUUGUCCAGAAUUGUUGUUGCACAGAGAGGGUUUGCGUUCCAACCUACGGGAACUUGAAAUAUGUGGCUGCAACCAACUCACGUCACAGGUGGACUGGGAUUUGCAAAGACUGACCUCCCUUACUCAUUUCACAAUCAAAGGUGGAUGUGAAGACAUGGAAUUAUUUUUCCAAGGAGUGCCUGCUGCCCUCUUCUCUGACUUAUAUUUCAAUCUGGCAUCUUCCAAAUCUCAAGUGUCUUGACAGCAGGGGGCUUCAACGACUCACCUCUCUUCUACAAUUAGAGAUCAGGAAUUGCCCUGAGCUCCAAUCCUCGACAGGAUCUGUUCUUCAACGCCUUAUCUCUCUCAAGGAAUUAGGAAUCUACGCGUGCGGAAGGCUCCAAUCCUUGACAGAAGCAGGUCUUCACCACCUCACCACUCUUGAAACCUUAAGUAUCAGCGACUGCCCUAAUCUCCAAUACUUGACAAAAGAGAGACUGCCAGACUCCCUCUCUUAUCUGUAUGUCAGAGAGUGUCCUUCACUGGGACAACGGUGCCAAUUCGAGAAAGGGCAAGAAUGGCGUUAUAUAUCUCACAUUGGAACAUGUGGAUACAUUUUUAGUAACCAGGAUGAACAUAGAUGCCUUCUUAUGAGGAACAAAGUUCGAUUAUGACAAUAGAAAAACAUGUGAGCCUAAGCUUAUCUGGAGUCCUUAUGACGAAAGGCUGUUUAUUUUGCAGUAACCAAGGGACCAACUUCAAAAGAUGAUCAUCGAGGUCAUUGACAUGGAUCCUUGAGGUGGCAGGCUUCUUGUGCUAGCUUCUCAUCAACAGAAUUUUCAUGGUCAUGCAUUCACUUCUGUCAGUGACCAUGGGCAUUGGUUCUCAUUGUUUAUCCAAGUCAUCUGUUUCUUUGAAAAGAAAAUUAAAGAGUCCAGGUCUAAAUGGAGGUUUAUACUGUGAAACUCCCGAGAAGAAUAUUGCAAUUAAAUUGAUAUAGACUUCAAGACUUUUUUUAAGCUUUGUUUUCCAUUUCAAUGUUCUUAUCUUAAAAGUGGUUGAGUGCAAUUCCCUCAUUGAACUUCCUGAUUUUGUAUAGAAAUGAUGCUUCUGAGAUUAUUCACCGUCUCCUUGAAUUAGAAAAUUUGCUCUUCUAUAUUUCCGGUCUUUCUAAUGAUUUGUGAAUGGGUGAAUCAAUCAAUAGAAUAUCAGAUCUAAUCAUGGACAUGAUCCAAGCUUCUCCUGAUGAUCAACCAAACAUCACACAGGUAUGUGCUUCGCUUGAUUGGCCAUUCAUCCCCGUGAAUUUAGGUGUGCUAGAGAUUUUCUGUUUCUCGAGGCUUCAAGUCUGAAACAAAUAUUGAAGAGGAGUGGAGGAGGAUUGAACCAAAGUGCUCACAUUGUGACACAGAUAGUUGCCAUAUUCUAAUGGCAUGGAAGAAACCAGGGACGUAUUGUGCUUUAGCCAAAUAAUUUUCUAGUCCUAUUGUGGGGAAUUUGGGCAUGCAGCAAACUCUAUCUGUUGAUACAUUUUAGCAACCAGGAUGGACAUAGAAGACUUCUUAUGAGAAACAAAGUUUGGUUAUGAGUAUGGAAAACAUGUGAGACUUAAAAGCUGAGAAUCUUCCAUCGGACCCUGAUGGAUUAUGGAAGCACCUCCACCAAUCAUAAGCACUUGAAGAAGCCUGAAGAAAUGGGCAUUGAAGAAGAUACAGGAACUAAAGCAAGCUCUUGCUGCUUGAACUCCAUCACCCAACAGUGAUGCUUUGAAAAACUGAACCUCAACUGGACUUCAGUCAACUGCUACUCCUCCAGUAUCAUCUCCUAUUCUCACACAUGCCUAUUGGAUUUAAAACAAUUUCUUCCACCGAUUCAUUUUCUUGAUAUUUUCUCUUCUCAUAACAGCAGAGAGAAAAGAUUGAAGCAACAGUUUGGAAACUCCAGCACAGAAAAUCCGAUUCCCCUGACCAGACUCUAAGCCAUGGCAGGCUUUUGGUGACGAGCCCAAACAGCAGCAGCCUCUUUCCAGGGAUAAGGAUAGUGUUUAGGACCAGAAAAUGGUCAUCACAACAAACCAGCCACAGAAGCAACUUCUGGCCCUGAAACUUGGUGUUUUGGAUAGGAGAGUUUUACAGCCACCCCUGCUGCCAGCUCUAAUAUUUCCAGACCCACUGUUGGAGGCAUAAUGCCCAACUUAUUGGUGACUCAAAGAAGAUUGAGAGCUAGUCGGCUACUGAACCUGCUAGAUUGGCUGGUUUCUAACUUAUUUAGUGAGGUUAUAUCAUCCUUAGCACUUCUGGUCAUAAGAGAUGAGAAUAGGCAAAAAAGCAAAAAAAAAAAAAA